AUUGAACGCUGGCGGCAUGCCUUACACAUGCAAGUCGAACGGUAACGCGGGGCAACCUGGCGACGAGUGGCGAACGGGUGAGUAAUGCAUCGGAACGUGCCCAGUAGUGGGGGAUAGCCCGGCGAAAGCCGGAUUAAUACCGCAUACGACCUACGGGUGAAAGCGGGGGACCGUAAGGCCACGCGCUAUUGGAGCGGCCGAUGUCAGAUUAGGUUGUUGGUGGGGUAAAAGCCUACCAAGCCGACGAUCUGUAGCUGGUCUGAGAGGACGACCAGCCACACUGGGACUGAGACACGGCCCAGACUCCUACGGGAGGCAGCAGUGGGGAAUUUUGGACAAUGGGGGCAACCCUGAUCCAGCCAUGCCGCGUGCGGGAAGAAGGCCUUCGGGUUGUAAACCGCUUUUGUCAGGGAAGAAACGCUCUGGGCUAAUACCCCGGGGUAAUGACGGUACCUGAAGAAUAAGCACCGGCUAACUACGUGCCAGCAGCCGCGGUAACAC
rnacentral:rRNA from 1 species